UGGUUGGACAACCAGGAGCCCAUUUUGGUUAUAUACCUAUUGGUCAGUUUUUAAAGCACACUUUCCUUUCCAUAGGAUCAAUAAGUGGUGAUCAACCAA